rnacentral:rRNA from 1 species
GAUGAACGCUGGCGGCGUGCCUAAUACAUGCAAGUCGAGCGAACGGACGAGAAGCUUGCUUCUCUGAUGUUAGCGGCGGACGGGUGAGUAACACGUGGGUAACCUACCUAUAAGACUGGGAUAACUACGGGAAACCGGAGCUAAUACCGGAUAAUAUUUUGAACCGCAUGGUUCAAAAGUGAAAGACGGUCUUGCUGUCACUUAUAGAUGGAUCCGCGCUGCAUUAGCUAGUUGGUAAGGUAACGGCUUACCAAGGCAACGAUGCAUAGCCGACCUGAGAGGGUGAUAGGCCACACUGGAACUGAGACACGGUCCAGACUCCUACGGGAGGCAGCAGUAGGGAAUCUUCCGCAAUGGGCGAAAGCCUGACGGAGCAACGCCGCGUGAGUGAUGAAGGUCUUCGGAUCGUAAAACUCUGUUAUUAGGGAAGAACAUAUGUGUAAGUAACUGUGCACAUCGUGACGGUACCUAAUCAGAAAGCCACGGCUAACUACGUG